ACAAUUCAGUUUCCAUUAACAGUGUUAUAAUCGUGUUAAAUUCUCCAAAGAAUCGGAAAAAAUAACACACUCUGUCUCCUAAACUACAAUAGUGUAACAUAUAAGUAACAGAGCGCUACAAUAUCGUAAUAAAAUAUCAACAGAACGCGUUUCAUCUGUAUAAGUGACGGUCACAACACAGCUCGUUAAAAAUGAAUAGAUUGUAUUUUAUAAUUUUUGUUUUCGCGCUUAUAGCAUCGGUGAUGGCAUUAGAUUCCCGUUGUUUUGAGCCAAUAGUCACAGGACCAUGCCGGGCUUCGCAAACCAAAUACGCGUUCACCGGUAGAGGAUGCGACACCUUCG